UGCGGUCUUGCAAGUCCAUUAAAUGGCAGAACUUGAUUGUAUGUCAUUAACCUGGAGUCUUCAUCAAACUCAUGAGGGUGUAAACCAUAGCUUCUUGUCCGCAGAGCCGAAGACCAGAGAGAGAGCUAUAAAAAACAGUGAGAAUGAUGCUCUUGAUAGAUUUCUUCACAAAGAACUGUAACUCUGGUCAAUAGUGGAGAACUUGAAUAUUGCGAUCACUUGUUCUUUGUGCAAAAUAUUGGACCGAGAAACCUGGAGCUGCAGCUGACAGAGAACAAACUAGAAUUUAGACUGACCAACCCAUGAACUCUCUAGUUGUGGGGAAUCUGUGAAUAUAAGCUCUUGAAGAGUUGGCCCUACUUUUGUUUCCAACGAGGAAGAGAUCUGCCUAAAAUUUGCAGAGCAGCCUGGUUUUUCAGAAGAACGGAUGAGAAACAAUCAGCCUCCUUGACGUGCCAAUAUCCCUUGGCCCUGAACUAUAGCUGAGUUAUUAAAGAACACAGGAAAUGUGCACAUUUGUGGACAAGAGAACGUGUCCGAGGCUGUUCAUCGUGGUGCUGCUUAUGAUCAUACAGUGUUGGGCAACUGGGUGUCUGUCACCGGAAGAAGGAAAGUCAGAUGCUGCGCGGUCCACGCCGGAGACUGCCUGUGGCAAUCAGAAGGGCCCCACCGCGGGUGCUCGCCAGGCCAGCCACAGGAUCUGCAGGCCCCGAGCAAAGUGAAAACGCAGGUCUCCUUGUUCAAACAGCAGGGAGAAGGUGCUGCUAAAGAUAUUAAAAUUCAGAACUUUUCCUUUC
rnacentral:lncRNA from 1 species